UACGAAGGGGGCUAGCGUUGCUCGGAAUCACUGGGCGUAAAGCGCACGUAGGCGGCUUUGCAAGUCGGAUGUGAAAUCCCUCGGCUCAACCAAGGAAGUGCAUCCGAAACUGCAGAGCUUGAGUACUUAAGAGGAUCGCGGAAUUCCCGGUGUAGAGGUGAAAUUCGUAGAUAUCGGGAGGAACACCAGUGGCGAAGGCGGCGAUCUGGGAAGAUACUGACGCUGAGGUGCGAAAGCGGUGGGGAGCAAACAGG
rnacentral:rRNA from 1 species